GAUGAAGAACGCAGCGAAAUGCGAUAAGUAAUGUGAAUUGCAGAAUUCAGUCAAUCAUCGAAUCUUUGAACGCACAUUGCGCCCCCUGGUAUUCCGGGGGGCAUGCCUGUUCGAGCGUCAUUUCACCACUCAAGCCUCGCUUGGUAUUGGGCAACGCGGUCCGCCGCGUGCCUCAAAUCGACCGGCUGGGUCUUCUGUCCCCUAAGCGUUGUGGAAACUAUUCGCUAAAGGGUGUUCGGGAGGCUACGCCGUAAAACAACCCCAUUUCUAAGGUUGACCUCGGAUCAGGUAGGGAUACCCGCUGAACUUAAGCAUAUCAAUAAGCGGAGGA
rnacentral:misc_RNA from 1 species